AGGAGCCGUAUGAGGUGAAAAUCUCAUGUACGGUUCCCAGGGGUCCAAAUGGAAUGAAAAUGAAGUGAUAAAACAUUCCUAGAACCUCGAAAAAAAUUCUGCCACUUACAGUUUAUGAUAUUCUUAGAUUGGACGGCAAAGAUUUCUCAUUUUUUCUCCUUUCUAUAAUUUCAUUACCUUCACGAGCAAGAUCGCGCCCUUCGUUACGAGCUUGUACACAGGCUUCUAAAGCCACCCGAU
rnacentral:ncRNA from 1 species